AUGGCUGAGAUGGUCAAGUCGGUCAUUAUUGGGGAAGCAGUUAGCCGGAUUAUUUCGGGUAUUGCCCCCACCAGCAAAGACGAGGACAAAGCAGAUGAAGAAGCGUCAGGAGGUGGUGGCCUAGAGAGGUUGGAGAUGGCGCGCAUCAAAAUGGAGGCCGCAAUCCAAACAUCCAACAAGUGGCAGAUCACUGACACGUCGCUCCUCCGUUGGCGAAAGAAGCUCAAGCGUACUGCCCAGGACUGUGACGAUGUAGCGCGCAGAUGCAGACAACUUUCUCGGGAAGAAGACGAGGCGGACUGGCGGAGCAGGUGCGACAAUGAUCAUCGCUCUGCGGGAAGUGCCAGCGCAGCUAUUGUUCGAAGAUUCGAGAGGCUUGCGGACGGUGCUGAUGAAUUUAUCAGGUAUGUGCAGAUCGGCGGGACACCACGCCAGAACCUGUUCUUCAACCCUCUCAUUAGGCAUCUCUUCACGGGCAAAAUGAUUGCGUAUCAGUUGUUGCGUCCUGGAGGUCAGUACCAAUACUUCCGCAUAGGGCCAAUCAAUUUUCAAGAGCGUGGGCUGGAGGCCUUCCUAUCCUUCAUGUACGAAGAUUGUAAGGUGCCCAAGUACAGUUUUUGCCUAGGGGUCAUGCUGCGUCUGUCUGAGAGUACAGACAUAAUUGGAACCGUUGUCAAGUGCUUGCGAGUUAUGACACCUCACUUCAACUCUAUGACCGACGUUGUUAUCAAGGAGAUCACUCAUCUCCCUAUGCAAGAUUUCUCCCAUGUUGCACACGAGAAACACUGGGUUCACGUCCACAGAACUUUGACUGAAUGGUUCCGUCCAGAUCCAUUAUGUUGUCAAGGAUUCGAGCACGACAUUGUGCCUUCUUGCCAUAGUGGCAGCGACAUCAGUAAUGGAAGCGGAAAUAAAUUGAAGUUUUCGAGCAUAUUUCCUGAACCAGUCUGCCAAGUGUUUUUCCAGUGUCACACCUCACUAUCCGAGUACAAAAACCUGCCAGGAUCAACCGUAUUUGCUGGUCAUGAUGACAAUUCAUCUUUGGAGAAUUCCCAACCAUUGAAGCUUGGAAUACUACUCAUGCCUCAUGCUUCUUUGGAGGACCCUAAGUCUGUUGGUUCCACAAUAGAAGUGAUUGAUACAGAGAAUCGACGCCACCUCACACAUGUAAAUGUUCAUCUGAACCAACUCGACGAGAUGAUGAUGCCUAAGGCGAUAGACUAUCUUCAUCUUAAUGCUGAGGCUAUGUCGUACCAGGUAUGCUGGAGGUCUAACCAUGGCAGUGCUCACCUAUGCAUGGAGAGGACAAGUGCGGAAAGAAAGCUUGGAGCACGCAGAGCCACACGACAAGGUAGGAACAUUAAGAGUGCCAAGGGGCUUCCUCUAGCGCAGCAGGAUCAGCGGAUACAUAUGCUGAAUCAGGUAGCUCGUUCAUUCUUAAACCGAUGGGCUGUGCGAUCCUCCGAGAGGUUGCAUAGCUCGUUUACUACGUGGCUCAAUCAGUAG
rnacentral:rRNA from 1 species